AUUGAAAUAAAUAACCAGAACGUGUUUCUCAGAUUCUGUUUUUCUUCUUCUUCAUCAACACGGCGGUGAAUGACGGUGAUGGCAUGGUGAUGGAAGAGAGUCACGUGAGAACAGCCACGUUGUGGCUGUUGCCGGCGAUGGCAGAUUUGGUGGUUGGUGAACGGGACGCCGGCGGUGAUGACGGUGGUGCACAUCGUAGCGCGACGAGGUCGAUGGCGAUGACUUGAUAACUGGGAAGAAGAUGAUGGUGGUUUGGUUAUGGGAAGAAGAACAAGGUUUGGGGUUAGGAGGGAUGAAGAACACGUUAAGAAGAUGAACAAUUUAUUUUCCCCCUUUUCUGCAGUUUUAUUUAUUUUUUAAUCAAGUAAAAAUAUUUUUUUUCAAUUCAAAAAUAUAUUAUCUAAUUUUUAAAAAUGAUUUUUAAAUAAGUGAAUUGCCACGUGUGCAUGAUUGCAUGGUCAGCAACUGCUAUGUAGACUAAAAUGUGCCAAAUCAGCAAUAAAGUGGAUCCAAGGACUAUUUUAAAA